rnacentral:rRNA from 1 species
AGUGAACGCUGGCGAUAGGCCUAACACAUGCAAGUCGAACGGCAGCACAGUAAGAGCUUGCUCUUACGGGUGGCGAGAGGCGGACGGGUGAGGAAUACAUCGGAAUCUACUUUUUCGCGGGGGAUAACGUAGGGAAACUUACGCUAAUACCGCAUACGACCUACGGGUGAAAGCAGGGGAUCUUCGGACCUUGCGCGAUUGAAUGAGCCGAUGUCGGAUUAGCUAGUUGGCGGGGUAAAGGCCCACCAAGGCGACGAUCCGUAGCUGGUCUGAGAGGAUGAUCAGCCACACUGGAACUGAGACACGGUCCAGACUCCUACGGGAGGCAGCAGUGGGGAAUAUUGGACAAUGGGCGCAAGCCUGAUCCAGCCAUACCGCGUGGGUGAAGAAGGCCUUCGGGUUGUAAAGCCCUUUUGUUGGGAAAGAAAAGCAGCAGGUUAAUACCCCGCUGUUCUGACGGUACCCAAAGAAUAAGCACCGGCUAACUUCGUG